AAAAAAAAAAACAACAAAAACAUGAGUGCCAGAUAAAGAAAAGCUGUAAGCAAUAAUUAAAUUUCAAUAAAACAAAUCAUUCAUUGCUCCACCAACUCUACAUUCCCAGACACCAAAAAGCAAAACAAGAAGAAACCAAUAUCCAUUCUUCAAACUCAUGAACACCAAAGUGUUUGAUCUUCUGUCUUUUCUCUUCAAAAGACAAAAAAGUUCAUCAUCUUUUUAACAACUGAUAAGCAAGAAGUAUCAAGUAUCUUUUUCUGGGCAAACCCUUUAAUAAAAAAUGGGGGAAAAAUUCAAAGCUCCAUCAGUUUCGGUAUCUUCACUUUCAACACUAACAAUCCCACCUAAAGCCCCUUUUGAAUCAUUUUUUGGUGUUGGAAAUAUACCCUAUUUUAGUCCAGGUCCAAUGACCCUUGUCUCCAGUUUCUUCUCUGAAUCUGAGUACCCAUCUUUCUCCCAGCUUCUUGCUGGAGCUAUGGCUUCUCCACUAGCAAAACCGCCUACCCUUUUGCCUGAAAAUUCAUCUGGAGAAGAAGAGAAUUGAAUAUAUUUGUAAUUUCUUAUGUGUCAUUAUAAAAUGACGUGAAAUUCCAAGCGUAGGCAAUUGUAUCACACACACACUGAACAUACGAGAAAAUGGUUUAAAAAGUAGAGUUCUGUUGAGUUUAAUUGUUCGGUUGACAAAGUGAUGAGUAAGAGGGUUUAACUGACAAACAGAGCUAACUACAAAGAUCUUUCAUGUCAUUAUUUAACAAAAUAUUCAUAUUUUAUUUAUGAAUAACAUAUAAAUAAUUAUAAAACUUAUAUACGUAUCUAAUUUAUCGGUACGGUUAAAUUAUUUUUGCGGUUAUUUUUAUUAAAAUCAAAAUCAAAUCAAAUAAUACGAGUUUUCAAAAUUUAAAAUCAAAUCUAACCAAACCCAACCAAAUAUCAAUUUUUGUAAUUAAUUUAGUUCAAAUUACAAUUCGAUUUAAAUUUUUUUAAUCAUAACCAUGAACCGUCCUAAUCCAGAUAUGCUAACAACAAAAACAUCACUGCUAUGGAAAAAAAAAAAAAACAACAAAAACAUGAGUGCCAGAUAAAGAAAAGCUGUAAGCAAUAAUUAAAUUUCAAUAAAACAAAUCAUUCAUUGCUCCACCAACUCUACAUUCCCAGACACCAAAAAGCAAAACAAGAAGAAACCAAUAUCCAUUCUUCAAACUCAUGAACACCAAAGUGUUUGAUCUUCUGUCUUUUCUCUUCAAAAGACAAAAAAGUUCAUCAUCUUUUUAACAACUGAUAAGCAAGAAGUAUCAAGUAUCUUUUUCUGGGCAAACCCUUUAAUAAAAAAUGGGGGAAAAAUUCAAAGCUCCAUCAGUUUCGGUAUCUUCACUUUCAACACUAACAAUCCCACCUAAAGCCCCUUUUGAAUCAUUUUUUGGUGUUGGAAAUAUACCCUAUUUUAGUCCAGGUCCAAUGACCCUUGUCUCCAGUUUCUUCUCUGAAUCUGAGUACCCAUCUUUCUCCCAGCUUCUUGCUGGAGCUAUGGCUUCUCCACUAGCAAAACCGCCUACCCUUUUGCCUGAAAAUUCAUCUGGAGAAGAAGAGAAUUGUAAACAAGGGAAUUUAGGGUAUAAGCAGAACCGACCCAUGAAUCUAAUGGUGGCUCAAUCUCCUUUCUUCACGAUUCCAACCGCU
rnacentral:lncRNA from 1 species